UACGUAGGCAGCGAGCGUUGUUCGGAAUUACUGGGCGUAAAGAGUGUGUAGGCGGUGCUCUAAGUUCGGUGUGAAAUCUCCCGGCUUAACUGGGAGGGUGCGCCGGAAACUGGAGUGCUCGAGCGUGGGAGAGGAAAGCGGAAUUCCUGGUGUAGCGGUGAAAUGCGUAGAUAUCAGGAGGAACACCGAUGGCGAAGGCAGGUCUCUGGGCCACUACUGACGCUGAGAAGCGAAAGCAUGGGGAGCGAACAGG
rnacentral:rRNA from 1 species